AUUUAAACCAACGACAAUCAGCCAACCAACAGUCAUUUUCAAGGUAUUAAUUCAAUACCAAAUAUUCAAUCCAGUUGUAUGCAUAUCAAAGCAUGAUCAGUAUAUAAUGAUAGAAAACAUUGUUGCAUAAUGGACAUAGCAAUCAACUAAAGUCAGUUUUUUAUGUGUUAUUCAUGAGUUAGACAAUGAGGACUUUCGAAAUAGAAACAAACCACUAUGGCUAGUUUUACCCACUGCAUAAUCGAAUUAUAGAAAUACUAGAGCUCAAUAGAAUCAUGAACUGAGUUACAACAAGCUUUGAGUUUCGUUCACAAUAGAGUAUUAAGAAUGAACUUAGCUUCGAAUGGAAAAGGGCGCAGCCUGUUCGGUCGAGCCAUGAAGCGAUGAUUGGGCGACGGCUCAAGGGGAUCCAAGCGCCAACCGUGAAUCACGGCGACGUGCAGAGGCACGCCGGACUCGUGCGCAGCAGCGGCGGUUCCAAGGACAGCAGCGUUGACGGCGUCGAGCGGUGAAAGGUAGAAGACUCCCGACCUCGGCGAUGGCUC
rnacentral:lncRNA from 1 species